CACACUUCGUUAGAGUUCUCUCAUUUUUUAUUCAGAAUUAAAUUGAUAACCAACUUAAGAUUAAUGCUCAAGAUUAUGUUUUGUAGCUCAGGAACUAUAAAACAUAAUUUUUCUUAUGAUUAUUGAAUUGUAUUUUUUGCAUGCUUUAUGACACUUGAACUUAUUUUUAAUUUAAUUUUGUUUAAGAGGUUCGCCCCUGAUUGGAUAUUUGGGAGGUUUCUUAAUAUACUUAUUAUUUUGUGUUUUUUCCAGUUACAUUCUGCUUCUUGUUUGGUUUAGUUAGAGGACUUCUUAUUCUGUGUUUUUUUUAUUGUGGAGGGGAGCAUUUUAAGGGGCAGAAGAGAUAGUCUCUUCCAGUUAGGAAAUUCAUGUUAUGGUAUCCAUGUAUAACUCUGAACUGAGCUUGAUGAGUCCAUGCUAGUGUGUCGCUUUUUGGUCCUUUUCAAUGUGAAAAUGGACGUGGAAUGUUAUAAGGAGAAAUAGUAUUUGAUACUAUCAUCAUUUAUAUUUCUAAUCAAAAUCUAAAAUUCUAUGCAUUUCUUUUGGAAAAUGUGAAGGGCGUGAACAGUGCAUUAUGAUCAUACUUGUUAUUUGGGGGACUGUAUUGCUAUAUGCAGGACUGUCUAUUGCUUUAUGCUAUAUGUAGUAAUUAAACUGAUGUUAUUCAUCUUAUAGAUUGGAAAACAUUAAAAAGAUGUCUUCCUGUUUCUGGCCAAGAGGGAUUAGAUGAACUUCGUAAAAUUGCUGCAGCAUUUGAGGCGGAGAUUUACGAUGCAGCAACAAGCCAGUCUGAUUAUCUUCGGAAAAUAUCAUUGAAGAUGCUGACAAUGCCAUCAAACCUUGGUGACAACGGGGAUGGACCUUCAGAUACAGGGUCCGUUCGGCAGGCUCAAGUUCUAAAAGGGCAGGUGGCACCAUCAGAGGGAAAGAGAAAUGCUGCAGGAAGACAAUCUAGAAGAAAGAGGAAGCAACCACUGUGGCUAUCUGACUUUGUCACCAAUCUAUAGAUGGAUGUAUUUUCACAUACUCAUUGUCUAAUUUUCUCAUGCCAUUGCAAAUAAUGUGGACCGAAUGUUUUGUCCAGGCCACUAUUUCGAUUAUAGUGUUUUCUGUGUAUUUCCUCUGGAAUGUGUCGUUUUGCAAUAUUGGCUUGUAAGGCCUUUGAUGUAAUGAGAAGGAAUGCUCGCAUAGGAUUUGGAGUGGCUUCUUGGACCUAUACUCCUUGGUUGGAUGAGGGAAAAAAAUAGGGAUCAACUUCUAAAAAGUAGUAAAAAAAUUUACUUUUCUUUUUUCUUUUUAA